UCCGGGGGGGGCAAGCGUUGUUCGGAAUUAUUGGGCGUAAAGGGUUCGUAGGCGGUCGACUCAGUCAGACGUGAAAUCCCUCGGCUUAACCGGGGAACUGCGUCUGAUACUGGUUGGCUUGAGUGCAGGAGAGGAAUGCGGAAUUCCAGGUGUAGCGGUGAAAUGCGUAGAUAUCUGGAGGAACACCGGUGGCGAAGGCGGCAUUCUGGACUGUAACUGACGCCGAGGAACGAAAGCCAGGGGAGCAAACGGG
rnacentral:rRNA from 1 species